GAUGAACGCUGGCGGCGUGCUUAACACAUGCAAGUCGAACGAGGUCCAACCUUCGGGUGAAGACCGAGUGGCGAACGGGUGAGUAACACGUGGGCAAUCUACCCCUCCCUCUGGGAUAACUCAGGGAAACUUGAGCUAAUACCGGAUACUCCGAUCAGGUCGCAUGGCCAGAUCGGGAAAGCUCCGGCGGAGAGGGAUGAGCCCGCGGCCCAUUAGCUUGUUGGUGAGGUAACGGCUCACCAAGGCAACGAUGGGUAGCCGAGCUGAGAGGCUGAUCGGCCACACUGGGACUGAGAUACGGCCCAGACUCCUACGGGAGGCUG
rnacentral:rRNA from 1 species